rnacentral:pre_miRNA from 1 species
UUGGAUAUGAAUGAAUUAUGUUUGGAUACAUUUAUUUAAAAUUGAUUCUUAUGAGUUGAUGUUGUUUGGAUAA